rnacentral:rRNA from 1 species
ACUGCUCAGUAACACGUAGUCAACAUGCCCAGGGGACGUGGAUAACCUCGGGAAACUGAGGAUAAACCGCGAUAGGCCAAGAUUUCUGGAAUGAAUCAUGGUUUAAAUCUAUAUGGCCCCUGGAUUGGACUGCGGCCGAUCAGGCUGUUGGUGAGGUAAUGGCCCACCAAACCUGUAACCGGUACGGGCUCUGAGAGGAGGAGCCCGGAGAUGGGCACUUAGACAAGGGCCCAGGCCCUAUGGGGCGCAGCAGGCGCGAAACCUCUGCAAUAAGCGAAAGCUUGACAGGGUUACUCUGAGUGAUUUCCGCUAAGGAAGUCUUUUGGCACCUCUAAAAAUGGUGCAGAAUAAGGGGUGGGCAAGUCUGGUGUCAGCCGCCGCGGUAAUACCAGCACCCCGAGUGGUCGGGACGAUUAUUGGGCCUAAAGCAUCCGUAGCCGGUCCUGCAAGUCCUCCGUUAAAUCCACCCGCUCAACGGUUGGGCCGCGGGGGAUACUACAGGGCUAGGAGGCGGGAGAGGCGAGCGGUACUCGAUGGGUAGGGGUAAAAUCCACUGAUCCAUUGAAGACCACCAGUGGCGAAGGCGGCUUGCCAGAACGCGCUCGACGGUGAGGGAUGAAAGCUGGGGGAGCAAACCGGAUUAGAUACCCGGGUAGUCCCAGCUGUAAACGAUGCAGACUCGGUGAUGGGCUGGCUUCGUGCCAACCCGGUGCCGCAGGGAAGCCGUUAAGUCUGCCGCCUGGGGAGUACGGUCGCAAGACUGAAACUUAAAGGAAUUGGCGGGGGAGCA